GGGGAAUAUUGGACAAUGGGCGCAAGCCUGAUCCAGCCAUGCCGCGUGAGUGAUGAAGGCCCUAGGGUUGUAAAGCUCUUUUGUGCGGGAAGAUAAUGACGGUACCGCAAGAAUAAGCCCCGGCUAACUUCGUGCCAGCAGCCGCGGUAAUACGAAGGGGGCUAGCGUUGCUCGGAAUCACUGGGCGUAAAGGGUGCGUAGGCGGGUCUUUAAGUCAGAGGUGAAAUCCUGGAGCUCAACUCCAGAACUGCCUUUGAUACUGAAGAUCUUGAGUUCGGGAGAGGUGAGUGGAACUGCGAGUGUAGAGGUGAAAUUCGUAGAUAUUCGCAAGAACACCAGUGGCGAAGGCGGCUCACUGGCCCGAUACUGACGCUGAGGCACGAAAGCGUGGGGAGCAAAC
rnacentral:rRNA from 1 species